AGCUAGCCAGCCAGGUAGUCUUUCCUGGUCGAGUUAUUGCAUCAUCAUGAUGAUUCGACCGGGCUUCAUCGUAUAGAGAAACUGGUGGUUUUACUAAUGUCUUUGUGGUUGCUGUAGCCAUACACCAUGUCCACCGUGUUGCUGCAGGUUGGGCAGUGUGGGAAUCAGCUGGGUUUGGAGUGGUGGAGGUUGCUUAUGCAUGUUUCAGGCCAGGACAGAGAAAAUGAUGGGAACCCGUUCUGCGCCAGAGACGGGAAGCUGGGAGCAGUGUUUGUGGAUAGCGAGCCUAAGGUUUUGGGAGGGGCUCGGUCUCUGGUCAGAUGCAAGAUACUGCGUGAGUCCAAUAUCAUUGCAGGCAAAGGAGGAAGGGGAAGCAACUGGGCAUAUGGGUACCAUGGACGACAGGGUGAGGGGGAGCAUGGGAUCCUCCAACAGUCAAUGGAGGCGGUGCGCAGGGAGGCUGAGAGAAGAGACUGUUACUGUGGGACAGUGAUGCUCCAUAGCCUGAGUGGGGGUACUGGGUCAGGGCUGGGUGCUAGGCUAUGUGAGGAGAUCCGGGAGGAGUUUCCUGCGGGUCACAUCCUGUCUGUGUCUGUGGCACCAUACCAGAGUGGAGAGAGUCCUCUACAGCACUACAACACCUUACUGAGUCUGACCUCCCUACAAAGGUCUGUUGAUGGUGUGCUCCUGUUUUACAACGACCAAACUCUUGCUGUGGCUGAGGCCCAGCGAGGGGCACCCAAGGGCCCGUCUGGCCCCUCUGGUCCUGGGAACUCCUUCUCAGCUAUAAAUGCUCACAUAGCCAGCUGUGUUGCUGGCCUUCUGCUUCCUGUCCAUAGCCUCACCACUUCCAGUGGUCUAAGCCUGGGAAUGGAACCUUGGGAGCUGGUGAGGUCUGUCUGCCCCCAGCCUGUAGCCAAACUACUGCACACCACCCAGGCAUGUUCAAGGGAGAGGAUGCGCUGGGAGAUCCUGGCCAGCUCCAGCCUCCAGAACCUGCCUCAUCUCUCUCCGGAAGGGAAACCUCACAGUAGCCGGGCAGUGCUGGCAGUUGCCCGUGGCAACCAGGACUCCUUCCUCACAUCCACUGCUCUGCAGCAGCUGAGACGGGGCCACCGCUGUGUCUCCUGGAACCCUUUCCCCAUUGACCACUGGACAGAUCCCCGUGACCAGCUAGGCUGCUCCUCGUCCUCUCAGUGCCUCACAGUGUGCUCCAAUCACAGCAGUGCAUCUGACCUACUGGCUCAGGUCUGGAGGCGCGCAGGGGAGAUGAUCCAAGCCCGGGCCUAUCUGCACUGGUACCAGCGCCAUGGUCUGGAGACCCAGGACUUCCAACAUGCUCUGGAUGAUCUCAGUACAGUCAUGCAGGAGUACAACACGCAGAUGGACUGAGGCAGAAUUGGUUUGUGUAAAUCAGCUAGUCCAGCUGGCUCACAGGUCAGUGCUGUGCAAUGGAGAUGUGGUUGUGACUACACCUGUGGGGAAAAAGGUAAUAUUACAGUUGUUUAUUGUGAUAAUGUAACUGCAUUUUUCAAAAUGACAAAUAAGGGCUUUAUAAAUUAUUUAAAACAAUCCCAGAAUGUAAUGUACACUCUAGUUUAAUAUUCCGGCCUGUUAAUAUUCCGAUUGAAAUAGUGAAAAUGGUAUACAACUGAAACUGAAACUAAACCAUUUCAUGGAGCAAAUUGUUGCAGCUGCUCCUUCAAGGCACAUCGGACCAAUUCCAUGGGUGCAUAAGUCCAAAAAAUGCAGAAUUCAAUGUCAGGAGGAAAAAUGUCUCUCACUAGGGUUGCAAUUCCCAGCAUUGCAAUUUGCAAAAUGUAAUUCUGGGAGAUUUGUGUGCUGCUACCCCCAAUAGUCCAGAAAAAAAAAACGGGGAAAAAAAACAAAAUCUCCAGGAAUUGGUCCGGUGAGAGUUGGCGUUAAACCAUUGUGCUUAACUAUUUCCAUCCUCUACAUUUAGACCAUUACAAGAUCACACAGAUUCGCCUGAACCAGUACCGUUGCAUGUUAGCAUUUUGAGCCUCAUUCACGAAGCAUGCGUGCUAUCACAUUCGGUUGUCAACGGUGUAAGAACAUUUUGCCAUUCAUUUUUUUUUUGUUAUCUGUAUUUGUUCAUUGCUGUUUCCUUAUGCUAAUCACAUUAUCAAUUGUGCAUAAAAUUCAGAAUUCAUCAUCUCAUACACCAAAAACAAAGGUCUGUACAUGUCUCAUUAAUCCCAUAUUGGUUUUUCAUAGGAACAUUUUUAAGAACAAAAGUAAGAAUAGUAUAAUAAAAGCUUUGGGAAUGAGGCCGAUUGUGUCUGUUGAGCAUGUUUUGUCCGUGUACGUUUCCAUGCCUGAAUAAAAGUUGAAUUGUAUGUACUUUCCCCACACGUAAUUAAAUCCUGAUUCUGUAGGCGAUUCGUACCGCACUAUACAGAUUUUAAAACUGCGUUUCAAAAAAUAGAUGUAACUAUUUCGGAUUCCGUACUGUAAAACGUCAUGCGUCAACGUCGCCAUGGAGUAAUGCGCAGAAGCGAAUAAUUAGUCGAGUAAAAAAUGCAUGGUAAAAAACAUCGUCAGAUUUCUCCUUACCGAUUUCAUUAGGUUUCAGGACAAAAAUACACAUUUUUGUUCAGUUUGAUUUACACAGAACACUACGUGACCUGCGAAAAGAGCAAGCUGCAGUCGGGAUCAAACAGUCUAAAUGUUUUGGACUGUACUUCGUUAUAAUGUUGCUGCACGAUACAGAAUGGACAGCAUGCGAAAGUGAAAUUCUCUGUGUAACGUUAUGGUGGUUCGUCAUAUAUGUUGUUCGUUCUGGGUUAUUCGGUAUUAACGUCAAAGGACACUGUGCGAUCUAAAACUGGAAGUGUGGUAAAACUGGAGCUGGAUAAACCGUUAAUCAUCUGAAAGUCUAACCAACCACUCCGGAUUGAAAAAUGAUCAUUUAAACGGCCAGCUAAAUCAGCUUAUUUUUUCUGUGUUGGAAGUGUGGACCUGAUGU